rnacentral:lncRNA from 1 species
GGAAUGUUUUGAUUGGCUGGAGGGGGGCACACGAAAAUGGGGGCAAUUCUGGGCAGAUUGGGAUUAGGGUUCUUAUCAAAAAAAACGUGAUUUCUCAAUUCUUCCCAAAAGUGUCAAUUAAGCAUACCAUUGUAAACAUCAAACACCAUACAACAACAAUCCAAACCCUAAUUUCAUCAAUUUGAACUAUACAACAAGAAAUCACAAGAAACAUUUUCAAACAUCAAACUUUAUAAAGUGUCAAUUAAGCAUACCAUUGUAAACAUCAAACACCAUACAACAACAAUCCAAACCCUAAUUUCAUCAAUUUGAACUAUACAACAAGAAAUCACAAGAAACAUUUUCAAACAUCAAACUUUAUCCCAUCAUAACUUCAUGAACAAGCAACUAUUCCAAAAAAUGAAAGCAUCAUGGUACUCAGCAAUAAAGGAUCUUUCCAAAGUGUAUGUCAAUUUUAAGAAUGGGGGAAGUUGAAAACUUACUAAUUUUGAGAAGCAGUUGUAUUGCUGGUGCCUUUUGAUGGAUUUGGGGUGAAGUGAUCGUCCUAGAGCCUUGCCUUGAUGUAUGCUGAAGAUUGCUCUUUGUCAAAUGCUUGUGUAGUGUCCACUCAAAGGGGGUGCAAAUGUUGUCAAGCCAGGCCAGGUUUAUGACUGUUGCUGCAGUGUUGGAUUUUUCUGUGGUGUUUGACAGGACCUUUCUUGGCAAGAUGCAAGUGAGGUGGUUGGAAUAAGGCAGGAUGAAUGCUGGUUCUGUUGUUUUGAUGGCAGGAAAAUGAAGUCCUCUGCCUGCUGCUAAGUUGUUGUGACAGGUUUUUGGUAAGAAUCAAAUGAAGUGAGUUUGAGUUUUGCUAAGUUGGUUUUUAGGAUUUGAAGAAAGCAAAACAAAGUUGGACUGGCCUGCUGCUAUUUCUUGGAUUCUUGUUAUGACAACCCAUGGUCUAUGCCAAGCAAGCAAGCAUGAAGUUGAAAAAAAAGAGGAGGGGAGAGAAGAGACAGAGAAUGGCAAUUUUGUAAUAUGGAUCCACUACAAAACACAGCGUUUGGGCACAAUGGAAUGUUUGAAUUGGCUGGAGGGGGGCACACGAAAAUGGGGCAAUCUGGGCAGAUUGGGAUUAGGGUUCUUAUCAAAAAAAACGUGAUUCUCAAUUCUUUCCCAAAAGUGCAAUUAAGCAUACCAUUGUAAACAUACAAACACCAUACAACAACAAUCAACCUAAUUCAUCAAAUUUGAACUAUACAACAAGAAAUCACAAAAACUUUCAAACAUCAAACUUAUCCCAUCAUAACUUAUGAACAAGCAACUAUCCAAAAAAUGAAAGCAUCAUGGUACUU